rnacentral:rRNA from 1 species
GGUGAAAAGCACCCCGGAAGGGGAGUGAAAUAGAACCUGAAACCGUGUGCUUACAAGUAGUCAGAGCCCGUUAAUGGGUGAUGGCGUGCCUUUUGUAGAAUGAACCGGCGAGUUACGAUUUGAUGCAAGGUUAAGCAGUAAAUGUGGAGCCGUAGCGAAAGCGAGUCUGAAUAGGGCGUUUAGUAUUUGGUCGUAGACCCGAAACCAGGUGAUCUACCCUUGGUCAGGUUGAAGUUCAGGUAACACUGAAUGGAGGACCGAACCGACUUACGUUGAAAAGUGAGCGGAUGAACUGAGGGUAGCGGAGAAAUUCCAAUCGAACCUGGAGAUAGCUGGUUCUCUCCGAAAUAGCUUUAGGGCUAGCCUCAAGUGAUGAUUAUUGGAGGUAGAGCACUGUUUGGACGAGGGGCCCCUCUCGGGUUACCGAAUUCAGACAAACUCCGAAUGCCAAUUAAUUUAACUUGGGAGUCAGAACAUGGGUGAUAAGGUCCGUGUUCGAAAGGGAAACAGCCCAGACCACCAGCUAAGGUCCCAAAAUAUAUGUUAAGUGGAAAAGGAUGUGGCGUUGCCCAGACAACUAGGAUGUUGGCUUAGAAGCAGCCAUCAUUUAAAGAGUGCGUAAUAGCUCACUAGUCGAGUGACACUGCGCCGAAAAUGUACCGGGGCUAAACAUAUUACCGAAGCUGUGGAUUGUCCUUUGGACAAUGGUAGGAGAGCGUUCUAAGGGCGUUGAAGCAUGAUCGUAAGGACAUGUGGAGCGCUUAGAAGUGAGAAUGCCGGUGUGAGUAGCGAAAGACGGGUGAGAAUCCCGUCCACCGAUUGACUAAGGUUUCCAGAGGAAGGCUCGUCCGCUCUGGGUUAGUCGGGUCCUAAGCUGAGGCCGACAGGCGUAGGCGAUGGAUAACAGGUUGAUAUUCCUGUACCACCUAUAAUCGUUUUAAUCGAUGGGGGGACGCAGUAGGAUAGGCGAAGCGUGCGAUUGGAUUGCACGUCUAAGCAGUAAGGCUGAGUAUUAGGCAAAUCCGGUACUCAUUAAGGCUGAGCUGUGAUGGGGAGAAGACAUUGUGUCUUCGAGUCGUUGAUUUCACACUGCCGAGAAAAGCCUCUAGAUAGAAAAUAGGUGCCCGUACCGCAAACCGACACAGGUAGUCAAGAUGAGAAUUCUAAGGUGAGCGAGCGAACUCUCGUUAAGGAACUCGGCAAAAUGACCCCGUAACUUCGGGAGAAGGGGUGCUCUUUAGGGUUAACGCCCAGAAGAGCCGCAGUGAAUAGGCCCAAGCGACUGUUUAUCAAAAACACAGGUCUCUGCUAAACCGUAAGGUGAUGUAUAGGGGCUGACGCCUGCCCGGUGCUGGAAGGUUAAGAGGAGUGGUUAGCUUCUGCGAAGCUACGAAUCGAAGCCCCAGUAAACGGCGGCCGUAACUAUAACGGUCCUAAGGUAGCGAAAUUCCUUGUCGGGUAAGUUCCGACCCGCACGAAAGGCGUAACGAUUUGGGCACUGUCUCAACGAGAGACUCGGUGAAAUCAUAGUACCUGUGAAGAUGCAGGUUACCCGCGACAGGACGGAAAGACCCCGUGGAGCUUUACUGUAGCCUGAUAUUGAAAUUCGGCACAGCUUGUACAGGAUAGGUAGGAGCCUUUGAAACGUGAGCGCUAGCUUACGUGGAGGCGCUGGUGGGAUACUACCCUAGCUGUGUUGGCUUUCUAACCCGCACCACUUAUCGUGGUGGGAGACAGUGUCAGGCGGGCAGUUUGACUGGGGCGGUCGCCUCCUAAAAGGUAACGGAGGCGCUCAAAGGUUCCCUCAGAAUGGUUGGAAAUCAUUCAUAGAGUGUAAAGGCAUAAGGGAGCUUGACUGCGAGACCUACAAGUCGAGCAGGGUCGAAAGAC